GGCCUUCGUUUGGACGAUGAUGUUGAGGAAUUUGACGAAUGGAAUCCGAGCACUUUGGAAAUUGUUGACGCGGAUGAUCCCGACACUGAAGUGCACAGGAUAAGCCCAAGAGAGAAUGGCACACAUGUCGCCUUCGAACUCGGAGGUGAAUGUCACGACUUUGGAAGAUUUACUUAUGUUUCAUCCGAAGGCGAAGAUCUUGGCAGUUAUCCUUCAAAUGACGUAAGCGUGACAUGUUUAGCGUACAUACGACAGUUGGGUUCAUUGAUUGUUGGAUACAGCUUCGGUUGCUUUCAAAUUUGGGAUUUGGAGCAACAUACGA